GUGCUCACUUUAGCAGCACAUACAAUAAAAUUGGAAUGGUACAGAGAAGAUUAGCAUGGCCCUGCGCAAGGAUGACAUGCAAAUUCUUGAAGUGUUCCAUAUUCUU
ensembl:snRNA U6 U6 spliceosomal RNA